CUUCAGUUCGAGCUCGCUUUGCUCUUAGGACACGUUUUAGACUUUGAAUUUCUGCCUGAAUCACCUGAAGCUGCUCUUCUUCAGGUGAUUAGUUUAAAAAAAAAAAAAAAGAAACUUUGAGAGAUUUGAAGGUGAAUCAGUCAGACCACCAUGACGGCUCUCAGGUGUGUCAGCAGCUUCAGACCUGCUGCUCAGAGAGGGAAGUGUUUGCUCAGCUCUGAAAGCUGACUGACAGAUCCGUCCCACCAACCCGAAGUCCACCAGGCACCAGGGUCUCGUCCAAAACUCUGAUGUUGGUGUUGGGGUUUGUGUGGUGGGACUGUCGUAUGAAGCAGCAGUGACCUCCGUCGUCCAAUCAGGCGUCUCUGCCCGUCAACAUAGUGGGAGAGUAACUGUGUAUGUGUGAGCAUGUAAAAAGUCCAGUUAGCAACGUUUGCACCAGCGCUACUUGGGUUACGUCUGCCAUCGCACUAAUCUCAUGUAAACUAAAGUGACAGCA